GAUGAACGCUGGCGGCGUGCUUAACACAUGCAAGUCGAACGGAAAGGCCCAAGCUUGCUUGGGUACUCGAGUGGCGAACGGGUGAGUAACACGUGGGGGAUCUGCCCUGCACUUCGGGAUAAGCCUGGGAAACUGGGUCUAAUACCGGAUAUGACCUCAUUUUGGAUGGUGUGGUGGAAAGUUUUUCGGUGUUGGUUUAGCUGGCGGCGUAUCAGCUUGUUAGUGGGGUAAUGGCCUACCAAGGCGUCUACGGGUAGCCGGCCUCAGAGGGUGUACGGCCACACUGGGUCCGAGGGGCGGCCGCGGCACCUACGGGAGGGAGCAGGGGGGAAUCUUGCCCGAUGGGCGCCAGCCUGAUGCAGCGACGCCGCGUGGGGGAUGACGGCCUUCGGGUGGUAAACUCCUUUCGCUAGGGACGAAGCGUUAUGUGACGGUACCUGGAGAAGAAGCACCGGCUAACUACGUG
rnacentral:rRNA from 1 species